AGCUGGUCCGAGUGCAGUGGUGUUUACAACUAAUUGAUCACAACCAGUUACAGAUUUCCUUGUUCCUUCUCCACUCCCACUGCUUCACUUGACUAGCCAAAU
rnacentral:Y_RNA from 1 species